rnacentral:lncRNA from 1 species
UCUGGCAGAAUAUUUGUAGCCAACACGCCGCACAAAGUCCACAGUAGUACAUUCACCGUUUACAAGUUUUGUAUUUUGUGCAAGAAGGAAGUCCAUCUUCUCCUUUUCAUAUUCCAACGGGUGCUUUUACAGUUAGAGUUCUCAUCUUUAUGUAAGAUGUUGUUUGCAGUUUCAAUAACACAUCGAUAACAACAAAAAUGUUAGGAUGGCUAGCGUAAAACUGUUCGUUCAAGAAGGCA